rnacentral:rRNA from 1 species
UACGUAGGGGGCUAGCGUUGUCCGGAUUUAUUGGGCGUAAAGAGCGUGUAGGCGGCCAGGUAGGUCUGCUGUGAAAACUCGAGGCUUAACCUCGAGAUGUCGGCGGAAACCAUCUGGCUAGAGUCCGGAAGAGGAGUGUGGAAUUCCUGGUGUAGCGGUGAAAUGCGCAGAUAUCAGGAGGAACACCAAUGGCGAAGGCAGCACUCUGGGACGUGACUGACGCUGAGACGCGAAAGCGUGGGAGC